CCUACGGGUGGCAGCAGUGGGGAAUAUUGCACAAUGGGGGAAACGCUGAUGCAGCGACGCCGCGUGAGUGAAGAAGUAUUUCGGUAUGUAAAGCUCUAUUAGUAGGGAAGAAAAUGACGGUACCUGAUUAAGAAGCCCCGGCUAACUACGUGCCAGCAGCCGCGGUAAUGCGGAGGGGGCAAGCGUUAUCCGGAUUUUGUGGGUGUUAAGGGAGCGUAGACGGCAGCACAAGUCUGGAGUGAAAUGCCGGGGCUUAACCCCGGAACUGCUUUGGAAACUGUGCAGCUAGAGUGCAGGAGAGGUAAGUGGAAUUCGUAGUGUAGCGGUGAAAUGCGUAGAUAUUAGGAGGAACACCAGUGGCGAAGGCAGCAUACUGGACUGUAACUGACGUUGAGGCUCGAAAGCGUGGGGAGCGAACAGGAUUAGAUACCCCUGUAGUC
rnacentral:rRNA from 1 species